rnacentral:rRNA from 1 species
UACGUAGGGUGCAAGCGUUAAUCGGAAUUACUGGGCGUAAAGCGUGCGCAGGCGGCUUUGCAAGACAGAUGUGAAAUCCCCGGGCUUAACCUGGGAACCGCAUUUGUGACUGCAUAGCUGGAGUACGGCAGAGGGGGAUGGAAUUCCGCGUGUAGCAGUGAAAUGCGUAGAUAUGCGGAGGAACACCGAUGGCGAAGGCAGUCCCCUGGGCCUGUACUGACGCUCAUGCACGAAAGCGUGGGGAGCAAACAGG